AUGGACUUGGUAUUAGUUUGUUAGAGAGUUUCCUAUUGAAUGAGUAAGGUAAUAGCUAGGGGAGUCUUUUGAGUUUGUUCUUUGGAUGCUACCCUAUUUAAUGUAUUAGUUUGUUAGAGAGCUUCCUAUUGAAUAAGUAAGGUAAUAGCUAGGGGAGUCUUUUGAGUUUGUUAUUUGGAUGCUACCCUAUUUAAUGUAUUAGUUUGUUAGAGAGCUUCCUAUUGAAUCAGUAAGGUAAUAGCUAGGGGAGUCUUUUGAGUUUGUUAUUUGGAUGCUACCCUAUUUAAUGUAUUAGUUUGUUAGAGAGUAUCCUAUUGAAUCAGUAAGGUAAUAGCUAGGGGAGGGUUUUGAGUUUGUUAUUUGGAUGCUACCCUAUUUAAUGUAUUAGUUUGUUAGAGAGUAUCCUAUUGAAUCAGUAAGGUAAUAGCUAGGGGAGGGUUUUGAGUUUGUUAUUUGGAUGCUACUCUAUUUAAUGUAUUAGUUUGUUAGAGAGUUUCCUAUUGAAUCAGUAAGGUAAUAGCUAGGGGAGUCUUUUUAGUUUGUUAUUUGGAUGCUACUCUAUUUAAUGUAUUAGUUUGUUAGAGAGCUUCCUACUGAAUCAGUAAGGUAAUAGCUAGGGGAGUCUUUUGAGUUUGUUAUUUGGAUGCUACUCUAUUUAAUGUAUUAGUUUGUUAGAGAGCUUCCUAUUGAAUCAGUAAGGUAAUAGCUAGGGGAGUCUUUUGAGUUUGUUAUUUGGAUGCUACCCUAUUUAAUGUAUUAGUUUGUUAGAGAGCUUCCUAUUGAAUCAGUAAGGUAAUAGCUAGGGGAGUCUUUUUAGUUUGUUAUUUGGAUGCUACCCUAUUUAAGGCAUGUUUGGUAUGGAAUAAGAUAACCAGCAGUUUGAUAUUGUUUA